rnacentral:sRNA from 1 species
CCCCCUGCGCUCUCGCCAUCGCCCCGCAUUUACUCGCUGGAGGAGGGGGUCACCUCAUUCCUAGGGAGGAGGAAACAGACGUUGAGCGGCGACGUGACUCAGUGUUCAUAAAUAGGACGACGUCCCUGCAUUCCCAAUCUGCACUAUUGGAAGAAAAGCCAAUGUUUGGGCCAAAUUUGAGUCCCUCUUUAGGACGUAUGACAAGGACAUCACCUUUCAGUAUUUUAAGAGCUUCAAACGAGUCAGAAUAAACUUCAGCAACCCCUUCUCCGCAGCAGAUGCCAGGCUCCAGCUGCAUAAGACUGAGUUUCUGGGAAAGGAAAUGAAGUUAUAUUUUGCUCAGACCUUACACAUAGGAAGCUCACACCUGGCUCCGCCAAAUCCAGACAAGCAGUUUCUGAUCUCCCCUCCCGCCUCUCCGCCAGUGGGAUGGAAACAAGUGGAAGAUGCGACCCCAGUCAUAAACUAUGAUCUCUUAUAUGCCAUCUCCAAGCUGGGGCCAGGGGAAAAGUAUGAAUUGCACGCAGCGACUGACACCACUCCCAGCGUGGUGGUCCAUGUAUGUGAGAGUGAUCAAGAGAAGGAGGAAGAAGAGGAAAUGGAAAGAAUGAAGAGACCCAAGCCAAAAAUUAUCCAGACCAGGAGGCCGGAGUACACGCCGAUCCACCUCAGCUGAACUGGCACGCGACGAGGACGCAUUCCAAAUCAUACUCACGGGAGGAAUCUUUUACUGUGGAGGUGGCUGGUCACGACUUCUUCGGAGGUGGCAGCCGAGAUCGGGGUGGCAGAAAUCCCAGUUCAUGUUGCUCAGAAGAGAAUCAAGGCCGUGUCCCCUUGUUCUAAUGCUGCACACCAGUUACUGUUCAUGGCACCCGGGAAUGACUUGGGCCAAUCACUGAGUUUGUGGUGAUCGCACAAGGACAUUUGGGACUGUCUUGAGAAAACAGAUAAUGAUAGUGUUUUGUACUUGUUCUUUUCUGGUAGGUUCUGUCUGUGCCAAGGGCAGGUUGAUCAGUGAGCUCAGGAGAGAGCUUCCUGUUUCUAAGCGGCCUGCAGGGGCCACUCUCUACUGGUAGGAAGAGGUACCACAGGAAGCCGCCUAGUGCAGAGAGGUUGUGAAAACAGCAGCAAUGCAAUGUGGAAAUUGUAGCGUUGCCUUUCUUCCCUCAUGUUCUCAUGUUUGUGCAUGUAUAUUACUGAUUUACAAGACUAACCUUUGUUCGUAUAUAAAGUUAUACCGUUGUUGUUUUACAUCUUUUGGGAAGCCAAGAAAGCGUUUGGAAAACGUAUCACCUUUCCCAGAUUCUCGGAUUCUCGACUCUUUGCAACAGCACUUGCUUGCGGAACUCUUCCUGGAAUGCAUUCACUCAGCAUCCCCAACCGUGCAACGUGUAACUUGUGCUUUUGCAAAAGAAGUUGAUCUGAAAUUCCUCUGUAGAAUUUAGCUUAUACAAUUCAGAGAAUAGCAGUUUCACUGCCAACUUUUAGUGGGUGAGAAAUUUUAGUUUAGGUGUUUGGGAUCGGACCUCAGUUUCUGUUGUUUCUUUUAUGUGGUGGUUUCUAUACAUGAAUCAUAGCCAAAAACUUUUUUGGAAACUGUUGGUUGAGAUAGUUGGUUCUUUUACCCCACGAAGACAUCAAGAUACACUUGUAAAUAAAGCUGAUAGCAUAUAUUCAUACCUGUUGUACACUUGGGUGAAAAGUAUGGCAGUGGGAGACUAAGAUGUAUUAACCUACCUGUGAAUCAUAUGUUGUAGAAAAAGCUGUUCCCAUGUCUAACAGGACUUGAAUUCAAAGCAUGUCAAGUGGAUAGUAGAUCUGUGGCGAUAUGAGAGGGAUGCAGUGCCUUUCCCCAUUCAUUCCUGAUGGAAUUGUUAUACUAGGUUAACAUUUGUAAUUUUUUUCUAGUUGUAAUGUGUAUGUCUGGUAAAUAGGUAUUAUAUUUUGGCCUUACAAUACCAUAACAAUGUUUGUCAUUUUGAAAUACUUAAUGCCAAGUAACAAUGCAUGCUUUGGAAAUUUGGAAGAUGGUUUUAUUCUUUGAGAAGCAAAUAUGUUUGCAUUAAAUGCUUUGAUUGUUCAUAUCAAGAAAUGGAUUGAACGUUCUCAAACCCUGUUUACGGUACUUGGUAAGAGGGAGCCGGUUUGGGAGAGACCAUUGCAUCGCUGUCCAAGUGUUUCUUGUUAAGUGCUUUUAAACUGGAGAGGCUAACCUCAAAAUAUUUUUUUUAACUGCAUUCUAUAAUAAAUGGGCACAGUAUGCUCCUUACAGAAAA